UUCAGUGGCUUAGUAAAUUUCACAAAAAUAAAGAGCUAUAUUUACUUAAUAAAAUCUUUUGAAAUCAUUUAAGUGAUAUUUUGAGUGGGUCAGGUUAAAAAUAAUAAUUAAAAAUCCAACAAAUAAUUUCUCUAAAAUUUACAUAUAUUAUUUAAGUUUAUUUACUGAAAAUAAAUAAGUAUUUAACUAACUAAUUAUAUUUUUAAUAUACCCUCAAUAUUUCUGGUGAAUUCUAAUAUAAAUAUUUGAUAAUUAUUUACUUGUACUGAUCUGUUUUAGAAACUAAAAUUAUUAAGUAUUUCCUACCAAUUUUCCUAAAUAAAGUUCCAGCUUAAUAAAAAACGGUUUAAAUAAAUUGAGUAAAUUUCGCGGCUAAAGUGAUCACGUGUGCAGCUCCGCAGGAAAAAAAAAAUCUGCUUUCCUCAGCAGAGACGUCGACUAGCCAUACUCCUCACAACUCCUGGUAAGUAAGGUUAGUCAGCUAAUCCUACUUACGUUUGUAACACUUUAUUAUAAAGUUAAUAAUUAUUAAGCAUUUCCUAACAAUUGUCUUUGUAUUUUACGUCAUCUUCAACAAGUUUCGUAACUUAAUCGAGGUCACCUGAAGGACGGCGUUCCUGAGUUUCCUCAGCAACGGCAAGACCUUCACUCCUCUCAUAUCGGGAAGUUUAACAAGUUUCGCGGCUCAAGCAAGAGGCACCUGUCACUGAAGGACUGCUUUUCUCAGCAACGACGUGAACAGCAUUACUCGAAUUUCCUGGUUCAGCUGAUCUACCCGUCUUCGUACAAGCAGAGUUGGCAGAGGAGGUCAUAAAAAUCUACAUCCUUCGGGACAGUGAUGGGGCAGUCAGCGAUGUAGGAGUUGUGAUUGAGGGCAUCACUGUCCUCCGCAGUCUUGGGAAUCUCAGCAGAGCCUGCUGCUAUCUUUUGGGAGUCACGUAUGCAUUGGAUUUGAGAUAUCCCAAGACCCACAAAUACAGGUCCUUCUAAAAAAAUUAGCUUAUUGUGAUAAAGUUCAUUAUUUUCCAUAAUGUAAUGAUAAAAAUUUAACUUUCAUAUAUUUUAGAUUCAUUGCACACCAACUGAAAUAUUUCAGGUCUUUUAUUGAUUUAAUACUGAUGAUUUUGGCAUACAGCUCACGAAAACCCCAAAUUCUCAAAACAUUAGCAAAUUUCAUCCGACCAAUAAAAGAAAAGUGUUUUUAAUACAAAAAAAAAAGUCAACCUUUAAAUAAUUAUGUUCAGUUAUGCACUCAAUACUUGGUGGGGAAUCCUUUUGCAGAAAUGACUGCUUCAAUGCGGCGUGGCAUGGAGGCAAUCAGCCUGUGGCACUGCUGAGGUGUUAUGGAGGCCCAGGAUGCUUCGAUAGCGACCUUAAGCUCAUCCAGAGUGAUGGGUCUUGCGUCUCUCAACUUUCUCUUCACAAUAUCCCACAGAUUCUCCAUGGGGUUCAGGUCAGGAGAGUUGGCAGGCCAAUUGAGCACAGUAAUACCACGGUCAGUAAACCAUUUACCAGUGGUUUUGGCACUGUGAGCCGGUGCCAGGUCGUGCUGAAAAACGAAAUCUUCAUCUCCAUAAAGCUUUUCAGCAGAUGGAAACAUGAAGUGCUCCAAAAUCUCCUGAUAGCUAGCUGCAUUGACCCUGCCCUUGAUAAAACACAGUGGACCAACACCAGCAGCUGACAUGGCACCCCAGACCUACACUGACUGUGGGUACUUGACACUGGACUUCAGGCAUUUUGGCAUUUCCUUCUCCCCAGUCUUCCUCCAGACUCUGGCACCUUGAUUUCCGAAUGACAUCCAAAAUUUGCUUUAUGCUAUAUUAUAAUGCUAUAUGCCAAAAUCAUCACUAUUAAAACAAUAAAAGACCUGAAAUAU